rnacentral:rRNA from 1 species
GUGAGGAAUUUUCCGCAAUGGGCGAAAGCCUGACGGAGCAAUGCCGCGUGAAGGAUGAAGGCCUAUGGGUUGUAAACUUCUUUUCUCAGAAAAGAAUUAUGACGGUAUCUGAGGAAUAAGCAUCGGCUAACUCUGUGCCAGCAGCCGCGGUAAGACAGAGGAUGCAAGCGUUAUCCGGAAUGAUUGGGCGUAAAGCGUCUGUAGGUUGUUUAAAAAGUAUUCUGUCAAAGAUUAGGGCUUAACCCUAGAUAGGCAGAAUAAACUUUUAAGCUAGAGUUUGGUAGAGGCAGAGGGAAUUCCCGGUGGAGCGGUGAAAUGCGUAGAUAUCGGGAGGAACACCAAAGGCGAAGGCACUCUGCUGGGCCAAUACUAACACUGAGAGACGAAAGCGAGGGGAGCAAAUGGGAUUAGAAACCACGGUAGUCC